rnacentral:rRNA from 1 species
GAAAGAACUAACCAAGGAUUCCCCCUAGUAACUGCGAGUGAAGCGGGAAAAGCUCAAAUUUAAAUCUGAGGGUCCUUGCGGCCUUCCGAGUUGUAAUCUAGAGAAGUGUUAUCCGCGCUGGACCGUGUACAAGUCUCCUGGAACGGAGCGUCAUAGAGGGUGAGAAUCCCGUCUUUGACACGGACUACCAGGGCUUAUGUGAUGCGCUCUCAAAGAGUCGAGUUGUUUGGGAAUGCAGCUCUAAAUGGGUGGUAAAUUCCAUCUAAAGCUAAAUAUUGGCGAGAGACCGAUAGCGAACAAGUACCGUGAGGGAAAGAUGAAAAGAACUUUGGAAAGAGAGUUAAACAGUACGUGAAAUUGUUGAAAGGGAAACGCUUGAAGUCAGUCGCGUUGUCCAGAAAUCAACCUUGCUUCUGCUUGGUGUACUUUCUGGUUAACGGGUCAGCAUCAAUUUUGACCGGUGGAUAAAGGUCAGGGGAAUGUGGCAUCUUCGGAUGUGUUAUAGCCCUUGGUUGCAUACAUCGGUUGGGAUUGAGGAACUCAGCACGCCGCAAGGCCGGGUUUUUAACCACGUACGUGCUUAGGAUGCUGGCAUAAUGGCUUUAAUCGA